GAUGAAGAACGCAGCGAAAUGCGAUACGUAAUGUGAAUUGCAGAAUUCAGUGAAUCAUCGAAUCUUUGAACGCAUAUUGCGCUCUCUGGUAUUCCGGAGAGCAUGCUUGUUUGAGUAUCAGUAAACACCUCAACUUCCAUAUCUUUUUUGAAAUGGGAGUUGGACUUGAGUGAUCCCAACGCUUUUCCUCACCGAAAAGUGGCGGGUUACUUGAAAUGCAGGUGCAGCUGGACUUUUCUCUGGGCUAUAAGCAUAUCUAUUUAGUCUGCCUAAAAAACAGAUUAUUACCUUUGCUGCAGCUAACAUAAAGGAGAUUAGUUCUUGUGCUGACUGAUGCAGGAUUCACAAAGACAGGCUUCGGCCGACUUUGUAAACUCGAUCUCAAAUCAAGUAAGACUACCCGCUGAACUUAAGCAUAUCAAUAAGCGGAGGA
rnacentral:misc_RNA from 1 species